GAGGCAAAAUGUCCCUGAAGUGUUCUCUGGGGAACCUCCAGCACCUUGCACAGUGCCUGACACACAGCAGGGGCCUCAUAAAUGGCUGUUAAUAAGUGAUAAAACCCACCCAAGACUGCUUUUCUUAUUGCUUUUGAUAAAACUCAUAAGCGAACUCUGAGUGACAGCUGCUUUCUUUGCCUCAUCCUGCUCCCUGUAGCUACCUCUGUGCCUCCGUCCCACAGUUAGAUGCAACAUCCCUGAUUUCCAGGAUCAGCUUAGUUCAUGCCAUUGACCCUUGGUUUUUUUGGUCUAUUCCCAUGUUCACCAGGAAGAGAAGCAUGAGGUUACAUCUGUAAUCUCCCUGCAGCAGAGUCAACUGCAUAAGAAACCAAAAGACACAUCUGCUCCAUGCCAGCUUCGAUAAUUUCUUUGUACCUUCGGCGAAAGAAGCCCAUCUGAAAGGCAGAAAGAAAGAGGAGAAGCUGAGUUAGAAGUGCUGAAGAAUCAGCCAUUGUGACCCCAAGGCAGCCUGUCCCUGGCCUAAGCCACCACAUAAAAAGUCAGACCAUCUGCUGGAAGAACCACAUGGAGAGGCCCUGAGUCGACAUGGAGAGGAAGAAGGACUUGAUUGAAUCCAGCCUUCCAGCUGUCCCUACCAAGGUGCCAGGCACGAGAAUGAAGCUGUCUUGGACUCUGAAGACCAGCUUAGCCACCAGGUAAAUGCCACUAAGUGACCUCACUCAAUGUCAUGUGGGAUGGAAGAAUCACCCAGCCAAACCCUUCCUGGAUCCCUGACCCAGAAAUUUGUCAGAUGUAAUGGUUGUGUAAAGCCACUCAAUUUGGGGGCAGUUUGUAUGCAGCAUAGCUAGCUGGUAUGAUACAACAGCCUGCAAUUCAGGCAGCAGCAGCACUAACAACCAUGAAA
rnacentral:antisense_RNA from 1 species